rnacentral:rRNA from 1 species
GGCAGCCGCGGUAAUUCCAGCUCCAAUAGCGUAUAUUAAAGUUGUUGCAGUUAAAAAGCUCGUAGUUGAAUUUCGGGAUUGACACAUCGGUCGUGCCUUAAGGGGUAUGAACUGGUGUAGUCAAUUUCUCACCUUCUGGAGAACCGCGAUGCCCUUAAUUGGGUGUCGCGGGGAACCAGGACCUUUACUUUGAAAAAUUAGAGUGUUUAAAGCAGGCAUUUUGCUUGAAUACAUUAGCAUGGAAUAAUAAAAUAGGACGGCAUGAUUCUAUUUUGUUGGUUUCUAGGAUCACCGUAAUGAUUAAUAGGGAUAGUUGGGGGCAUUAGUAUUCAAUUGUCAGAGGUGAAAUUCUUGGAUUUAUUGAAGACUAACUACUGCGAAAGCAUUUGCCAAGGAUGUUUUCAUUAAUCAAGAACGAAAGUUAGGGGAUCGAAGACGAUCAGAUACCGUCGUAGUCUUAACCAUAAACUAUGCCGACUAGGAAUCAGACGAUGUUAAUUUUUAAUGACUCGUUUGGCAC